UGGCAUAAAUGUGCCUGACUUCAAUUCUGAAAAAUAUGUACUAUGGGACCUCAUCUGUUAAGCAGGGACAACAUCUGUUUCACGUGAUGUUAUGAAGACUAAAUGCCUGGCAUACAGCAUCAGUUUAUAGGAGUAUUCUGAGAAUGACAGCUGCCAGUCAUCUGGAGAUCUGAUAGCUGUUGGAAGCUGAGUUCAGUGGAGCUCCUCCUCCUGGGAGAAGUGAGAGAGUCCCAGGUUCUAGCGACUGCUUGUCCAAGACACCCAGAGUUUGAGGUACUGGAGUGUGAGAGUCUUUGGCAAGUGAAGGAGCCGGGCUAUAAGUGAUGGAUGUCCCACUUAAAUGACACUUUGCAAAGCCUUCAUCAUGUAGUGGCAGAAGAGUCACAAGAGAAUAAAUGACUUUC
rnacentral:lncRNA from 1 species